AUACGGAGGGUGCAAGCGUUAUCCGGAAUCAUUGGGUUUAAAGGGUCCGUAGGCGGGCUAAUAAGUCAGGGGUGAAAUCCCACAGCUUAACUGUGGAACUGCCCUUGAUACUGUUGGUCUUGAGUUACAGUGAAGUGGUUAGAAUGUGUAGUGUAGCGGUGAAAUGCAUAGAGAUUACACAGAAUACCGAUUGCGAAGGCAGAUCACUAACUGUAUACUGACGCUAAUGGACGAAAGCGUGGGGAGCGAACAGGAUUAGAAACCCCUGUAGUCC
rnacentral:rRNA from 1 species